UACGAGGGGGGCGAGCGUUGUUCGGAAUUAUUGGGCGUAAAGAGUGUGUAGGCGGUGCUCUAAGUUCGGUGUGAAAUCUCCUGGCUUAACUGGGAGGGUGCGCCGGAAACUGGAGUGCUCGAGCGUGGGAGAGGAAAGCGGAAUUCCUGGUGUAGCGGUGAAAUGCGUAGAUAUCAGGAGGAACACCUGCGGUGUAGACGGCUUUCUGGACCAUUGCUGACGCUGAGACACGAAAGCGUGGGUAGCAAACAGG
rnacentral:rRNA from 1 species